GAUGAACGCUAGCGGCAGGCUUAAUACAUGCAAGUCGUGGGGCAGCAUGAGUAGCAAUACUUGAUGGCGACCGGCAAACGGGUGCGGAACACGUACACAACCUUCCGAUAAGUGGGGAAUAGCCCAGAGAAAUUUGGAUUAAUACCCCGUAACAUAUAGAGUAGGCAUCUUCUUUAUAUUAUAGCUUCGGGGCUUAUUGAUGGGUGUGCGUCUGAUUAGGUAGUUGGCGGGGUAACGGCCCACCAAGCCUACGAUCAGUAGCUGAUGUGAGAGCGUGAUCAGCCACACGGGCACUGAGACACGGGCCCGACGCCUACGGGAGGCAGCAGUAAGGAAUAUUGGACAAUGGGCGAAAGCCUGAUCCAGCCAUGCCGCGUGAAGGAUUCAGGUCCUCUGGAUUGUAAACUUCUUUUAUUUGGGACGAAAAAAGGGAAUUCUUUCCCACUUGACGGUACCAAGUGAAUAAGCACCGGCUAACUCCGUGCCAGCCGCCGCCGUAA
rnacentral:rRNA from 1 species